GACUCUCGGCAACGGAUAUCUCGGCUCUCGCAUCGAUGAAGAACGUAGCGAAAUGCGAUACUUGGUGUGAAUUGCAGAAUCCCGUGAACCAUCGAGUCUUUGAACGCAAGUUGCGCCCGAAGCCGUCAGGCCGAGGGCACGCCUGCCUGGGUGUCACGC
rnacentral:rRNA from 145 species